GUGCCAGCCGCCGCGGUAAUUCCAGCUCCAAUAGCGUAUAUUAAAGUUGUUGCAGUUAAAAAGCUCGUAGUUGAACCUUGGGCCUGGCUGGCCGGUCCGCCUCACCGCGUGUACUGGUCCGGCCGGGCCUUUCCUUCUGGGGAACCUCAUGCCCUUCACUGGGCGUGUUGGGGAACCAGGACUUUUACUUUGAAAAAAUUAGAGUGUUCAAAGCAGGCCUUUGCUCGAAUACAUUAGCAUGGAAUAAUAGAAUAGGACGUGUGGUUCUAUUUUGUUGGUUUCUAGGACCGCCGUAAUGAUUAAUAGGGAUAGUCGGGGGCAUCAGUAUUCAAUCGUCAGAGGUGAAAUUCUUGGAUUGAUUGAAGACUAACUACUGCGAAAGCAUUUGCCAAGGAUGUUUUCAUUAAUCAGUGAACGAAAGUUAGGGGGAUCGAAGACGAUCAGAUACCGUCGUAGUCUUAACCAUAAACUAUGCCGACUAGGGAUCGGACGGUGUUAGUAUUUUGACCCGUUCGGCACCUUACGAGAAAUCAGAGUCUUUGGGCUCUGGGGGGAGUAUAGUCGCAAGACUGAAACUUAAAGGAAUUGACGGAAGGGCACAACCAGGCGUGGAGCCUGCGGCUUAAUUUGACUCAACACGGGGCAACUCACCAGGACAGGACAUGACGAGGAUUAACAGACUCAGAGAUCUUUCAUGAUUUCAUGGGUGGUGGUGCAUGGCCGUUCUUAGUUCGUGGAUUGAUUCGUCUGGUUGAUUCCGAUAACGAACGAGACCAGAACGUGUGGUUGGCGUCGGGUCUGUGAUUCCCAUUUCCUACGCGUAAGCGGAGACCCAAGUUGGUCUGAACUUCGGGUUCGAGCUUCGGCUCAUUUGUGGGGGUCUGCCUCAAGUGGAGACUAUGAUACUGGAAAUGAGGCCCGCGCCCAAUCAUGCGGACUGCCCGCGCUAUAGUGGGUGGAGGUGUCUGGCMAUAACAGGUCUGUGAUGCCCUUAGAUGUCCUGGGCCGCACGCGCGCUACACUGAUGCGACCAAUGGGUGUCACCCUUUGCCGAGAGGUCUGGGUAAUCCUGUGAAGUCGCAUUCGUGCUGGGGAUCGAGCUUUGUGACUAUUGCUCGUGUAACUUGGAAUGCCUCGUAAUCGUGGGUCAUCAGCCCACGCUGAAUAUGUCCCUGCCCUUUGUACACACCGCCCGUCAAUCCC
rnacentral:rRNA from 1 species